AGCAGCAGCCGCGGUAAUACGUAGGUGGCAAGCGUUGUCCGGAAUUAUUGGGCGUAAAGCGCGCGCAGGCGGAUCAGUUAGUCUGUCUUAAAAGUUCGGGGCUUAACCCCGUGAUGGGAUGGAAACUGCUGAUCUAGAGUAUCGGAGAGGAAAGUGGAAUUCCUAGUGUAACGGUGAAAUGCGUAGAUAUUAGGAAGAACACCAGUGGCGAAGGCGACUUUCUGGACGAAAACUGACGCUGAGGCGCGAAAGCCAGGGGAGCGAACGGGAUUAGAUACCCCUGUAGUCCCUGUCUCUUAUACA
rnacentral:rRNA from 1 species